GUUCUCCAACCCAGUCCUCAUGGACCACCAACAGUUCAGUUUUUUUCAGUAUCUCCAAUAGAAUAAAACAGGAAAAUACAUCAAUCCUGGACUGUUGGUGGUCCAUGAGGACUGGUUUGGGGAC
rnacentral:miRNA from 1 species